rnacentral:rRNA from 1 species
AGUGAACGCUGGCGGUAGGCCUAACACAUGCAAGUCGAACGGCAGCACAGUAAGAGCUUGCUCUUACGGGUGGCGAGUGGCGGACGGGUGAGGAAUACAUCGGAAUCUACUUUUUCGUGGGGGAUAACGUAGGGAAACUUACGCUAAUACCGCAUACGACCUACGGGUGAAAGCAGGGGAUCUUCGGACCUUGCGCGAUUGAAUGAGCCGAUGUCGGAUUAGCUAGUUGGCGGGGUAAAGGCCCACCAAGGCGACGAUCCGUAGCUGGUCUGAGAGGAUGAUCAGCCACACUGGAACUGAGACACGGUCCAGACUCCUACGGGAGGCAGCAGUGGGGAAUAUUGGACAAUGGGCGCAAGCCUGAUCCAGCCAUACCGCGUGGGUGAGGAAGGCCUUCGGGUUGUAAAGCCCUUUUGUUGGGAAAGAAAAGUAGCAGGUUAAUACCCCGCUGUUCUGACGGUACCCAAAGAAUAAGCACCGGCUAACUUCGUG